GCCACACCCAGAUGAUAAUACUCACCUGAAAACCCGACCUCAUCCACCUCACAUCCUCUCUGGCAAACAUGAAGAGUCAUGAAAACAGGCAGCAGAAUAACUAACCAAAAACAGCUCCCAGGGAUGUCGGAAAUUGGUUUUGCAAAUCCUUCGGCAACACGUUCCGCCCAAGAAAAAUGGGCGUAGGAACCAGAUGCAGUGAGGUGGAGCUCUCCCCCGCAGAGUGAUCUCCCUGGGCGCCUGGAGGUCCACUUCCAAUCUAUUUGCUGUAAUUGCCGUCAGAGUGUACACCUUGGAGUCUUCUAAUUCCCUCUUUUAUUUCAGCCACCAUGAGGCAGACCAUC